GAUGAACGCUGGCGGCGUGCUUAACACAUGCAAGUCGAACGGAAAGGCCCAAGCUUGCUUGGGUACUCGAGUGGCGAACGGGUGAGUAACACGUGGGUGAUCUGCCCUGCACUUCGGGAUAAGCCUGGGAAACUGAGUCUAAUACCGGAUAGGACCACUUCUUGGAUGUUGUGGUGGAAAGUUUUUUCGGUGUGGGAUGAGCUCGCGGCCUAUCAGCUUGUUGGUGGGGUAAUGGCCUACCAAGGCGUCGACGGGUAGCCGGCCUGCGCGGGUGUACGGCCACAUUGGGACUGAGAUACGGCCCAGACUCCUACGGGAGGCAGCAGUGGGGAAUAUUGCACAAUGGGCGCAAGCCUGAUGCAGCGACGCCGCGCGGGGGAUGACGGCCUUCGGGUUGUAAACUCCUUUCGCUAGGGACGAAGCGUUUUGUGACGGUACCUGGAGAAGAAGCACCGGCUAACUACGUG
rnacentral:rRNA from 1 species